CUCCGGGUGGUCUAGUUGGUUUAUGGCAUCGGACUGUAACUGCUUAUAUUACAAUAAUAUCCGAGAGUCGGGCGUUCGAUUCGCCCCCUGGAGA
rnacentral:tRNA from 1 species